AGCGAACGUUAGCGGCGCGCCUAACACAUGCAAGUCGAGCGAGAAAGGGAGCAAUCCUGAGUAAAGCGGCGGACGGGUGCGUAACACGUAGAUAACCUGCCCUUUGGAGGGGGAUAACGUUCCGAAAGGAGCGCUAAUACCGCGUAAAGCAUUUGGUGGUUCGCCACUGGAUGGCAAAGGUUGGGACCCGCAAGGGCCAACCGCCAGAGGAGGGGUCUGCGGCCAUCAGCUAGUUGGUAAGGUAAUGGCUUACCAAGGCAAAGACGGGUAGCUGGUCUGAGAGGAUGAUCAGCCACACUGGUACUGGAACACGGACCAGACUCCUACGGGAGGCAGCAGUGGGGAAUCUUGGUCAAUGGGCGCAAGCCUGAACCAGCGACGCCGCGUGAGUGAUGAAGGCCUUCGGGUUGUAAAGCUCUGUGGGGAGGGACGAAAAGAGCACGUUCUAACAGGACGUGUGUUGACGGUACCUCCUUAGCAAGCACCGGCUAACUCUGUGCCAGCAGCCGCGGUAAGACAGAGGGUGCAAACGUUGCUCGGAAUCACUGGGCGUAAAGGGCGUGUAGGCGGACUUGCAAGUCAGGCGUGAAAUCCCUGGGCUCAACCCAGGAAUUGCACUUAAAACUGCAAGUCUUGAGUGUCGGAGAGGAAAAGCGGAAUUCCUGGUGUAGAGGUGAAAUUCGUAGAUAUCAGGAGGAACACCGGUGGCGAAGGCGGCUUUCUGGACGAUAACUGACGCUGAGACGCGAAAAGCNUGGGGGAGCAAACAGGAUUAGAUACCCCGGU
rnacentral:rRNA from 1 species